rnacentral:lncRNA from 1 species
GAUCUAAAAGAUUGAUUUAAAUAUUUCAAAAAUAGUUCUCAAAAUCGAUCAAUCUUAUGCUAGGAUAAUCUUUUCAAUAUAGGAGGUAAACCCUAUACCAGGAUAACCUUAUACCAGCACAAGAUUAAUUUUAAAUUAUCUAAACUUUUAGAUCUAAGAUUAAAAAUCAGAUUAUACAUAUCUUAAAAACUAGUGGCUCUGAUACCACUGUUAGA